rnacentral:rRNA from 2 species
CGUCAACUUGUGAACUGCAGGACACAUGAACAUCGACAUUUCGAACGCACAUUGCGGUCCUCGGAUACUGUUCCUGGACCACUCCUGGCUGAGGGUCGUA